UAUUUAUCCCUACAGUUACUGUGAAGAACUGCUAGUGAAGUGUCUGAUUCCAUGUCACAGUCAAAUGCCAUUCUUGUUUUUUUACUGAUUCCUGUUGCUGAAAGGGGCCACAUGAUAACUAUAUUCAGAGCAAGUAUCAACUUGUGCCCCUAGCAAGGAAUCCAAAGACAAGUAUCUGUCAACACAGGUGCCAACUAUCUUGUAGGCAUUGGACACAUGCAUAAGUGGACCUCAAAACUGAGUGUCUGGCAUGAGCAACAGAUGCCAUAAAAUAGUUUUGUUAUUACCUUGGCUUUAUACCCUUGAGGACUCAAAGAAGAUGGUUGUACCCUUUAGUGUGUGCAAAUGGAAGUAGCUGAUAUAGGCACUGCAAUAUGUACUGUUAAGAUCUUUUUGUUUCCUGCACUCUCCCACUGUAUUGUGCCAAAGCUGUAAGUUCCUUCAUUGAACUAUGUGGUCCUGAGGAUGUGACACCUGUAUUCAAACAGCCAGUGCCUUGAGUUAACAAUAAACAAAACAAAACUUUAUUUGUACCACAGGCAUAUUGGUUUCAAGAUGUUCAGUAACUUAUUUCCUUAAUGAAUAAAACAAUGUUUAAUAACUUC